UAUAAAUUGCAACAAAUGAAUUUUAAAAACAAUACAUAUUUUUUUAUAUUAACGAUACAAUUAAAUAUAUAACGAUAAUUUUAAAUUGGAAUAAAAUUAUUUAACAAAGACAAUACAAAUGUUGGUAACAAAUGUAAAUUCCUAAACGGAUUUGCGAUAACGUCAUAGAUUAAUAAUUCUUAGUGACUAAUCUAGUUACGUGCCUAGGACUAGCACAAAGGAGAUUGUUUAUAAAAUAAAUGCUUCGAGUGGUUUCUUCACGAUAACAAAUAUAUCGGAGUGACAGUGACUGGGGGCGGAUCGGGACGAGAUAAAAUAUCUUAUCUUGAGAGGGAAGCCGCUUAAUCAAUAUAAAUGGUUACAAAUAUAAUCGAUACAGUAAAAAACUUAGAAUAGAAA